CGGGGCGUGGCGCAGGCGGUAGCGCGCAGCGUUCGGGACGCUGAGGUCGGAGGUUCGAGUCCUCUCGCCCCGACCA
rnacentral:tRNA from 1 species